GAUGAACGCUGGCGGCGUGCUUAACACAUGCAAGUCGAACGGAAAGGCCACAGCUUGCUGUGGUACUCGAGUGGCGAACGGGUGAGUAACACGUGGGUGAUCUGCCCUGUACUUCGGGAUAAGCUUGGGAAACUGGGUCUAAUACCGGAUAGGAAUCACAUGUGGGUGUGUGGUUGGAAAGCUUUUGCGGUAUGGGAUGAGCUCGCGGCCUAUCAGCUUGUUGGUGGGGUAAUGGUCUACCAAGGCGUCGACGGGUAGCCGGCCUGAGAGGGUGUACGGCCACAUUGGGACUGAGAUACGGCCCAGACUCCUACGGGAGGCAGCAGUGGGGAAUAUUGCACAAUGGGCGCAAGCCUGAUGCAGCGACGCCGCGUGGGGGAUGACGGCCUUCGGGUUGUAAACUCCUUUCGUCAGGGACGAAGCGAAAGUGACGGUACCUGGAUAAGAAGCACCGGCUAACUACGUG
rnacentral:rRNA from 1 species